UGAGAGUUGAGGAAAAGCUGAGAUGCCC
rnacentral:piRNA from 2 species